GUACAAGUACAAACAAGCAAAUAAAAGAAAAACUAGUGAUCGACGGAAUAUGGACAACAGUUUCAUCUUUCAUGCCUUGGCAGUAUGGCACUGGUCUCAAUAACUUCGGAGUCUCCAAGGCCAUUCUUUAAAAAUUAAUACAAUUUUUACAGUUUGCAGCACACUGAGACAACUUUGAAGGGUUGGUCUGAGUGAGCAGCUAGACACACACACACAUCAGCAGAUCAGAUCAGUAGUUAAUUGCAUUGGAAUCAAUUUCUCUCUUUCUGUCUUCUCUUCUUCUUUUCACUUCAUCAUCAUUACAAACAUGAAUCCUCACCAGUAAGACACUAUAAUAACCAUGAUUCUAAUGCCUCUGAUGCUGCGUUCACUGGUGGAGCUGGCAACAGCACUAGUGUGUGAACCUACAUCCACUCUCACAACAAUUCUAUAUUACGGCAAUUUGCUUCCCCGCAAUCUUAACUUGGGUCGAUUAGUGCGACGUGAAUUUCUUCACCGAGAAAACCAUUUCUUCCAUUUUCUCACCACUAUGCUCAGGUGCGUUUGGUAGAUAGCAAUAGCAUGUCAGGUGCAGGUGUUUAGUAAAGUACUUGAAUAGUUAAAUUGGUACAUGGAGUUGUUGAGGGAACCAAUUUAAUGCGUGUACUUUUUGAGGCAAGUAUGGUAGCAGUGUCUUAAAUGUAGAUGAUGUUUGAGGCACAUUCGUUGAUGUUGAAUUUCCCUUAUCACAAUUUUAUCUUUUUCAUCUCUAUUUUUUUGGGGGGUUCAAAGAAACAAAGUUUAAUAACAUUUUAGUGUUAGAAUUGUACGUUUCUAUUGUUGAAACAAUGUUCAAGAUUGAUGUUUUCAAUGAAUUUACAACUA